rnacentral:rRNA from 1 species
AACAUACCCUAGAGCGGGGGAUAACGUAGCAAAGUUACGCUAAUACCGCAUACGCACUAUGGUGGAAAGCAGGGGAUCGCAAGACCUUGCGCUCAUGGAGUGGCCGAUGUCAGAUUAGCUUGUUGGUGGGGUAAAAGCCUACCAAGGCGACGAUCUGUAGCUGGUCUGAGAGGACGACCAGCCACACUGGAACUGAGACACGGUCCAG